rnacentral:rRNA from 1 species
AUUCCAGCUCCAAUAGCGUAUAUUAAAGUUGUUGCGGUUAAAAAGCUCGUAGUUGGAGUUCUGCCAGGUGACGCUCGUCCGCCCAAGUGGUGUGUACAGGGCGUGCAUCUGGCCCUUUCAAGGGGAACGUGUCUGCUCUUUAUUGAGUGGUGCGAGAUCCUUGACUUUUACUUUGAGGAAAUCAGAGUGUUCCAAGCAGGCAUAGCCCGAAUACAUUAGCAUGGAAUAUCACUAUAGGAUUUCGGUCCUAUUUUGCUGGUUUCUAGGACUGAAAUAAUGAUUAAUAGGGACAAUCGGGGGCAUUCGUACUUAUACGUCAGAGGUGGAAUUCUUGGAUUGUAUAAUGACGAACUACUGCGAAAGCAUUUGCCAAGGAUGUUUUCAUUG